rnacentral:rRNA from 1 species
AAAAACAUAGCUUGUUGAAGUUUAUAAUAAGUAAAUUCUGCUCAAUGACUUUUUAAAUAGCCGCAGUACCUUGACUGUGCUAAGGUAGCAUAAUAAAUUGUCUUAUAAUUGAAGUCUAGAAUGAAUGGAAUAUUGAAUAAACUCUGUCUAAUUUUAGUUAUAUUAAAAUUUUUUAAUAAGUGAAAAUACUUAUAAUAUUUAUGAAAGACGAGAAGACCCUAGAAAUUUUUAUUAAUUAUAAUAAUUUUAUAUUAUAAAUAUUUUUGUUGGGGCGACAGAAUUACAAAACUAACUUAUUUAUUUUAUAUACUAUUUGAAAAAUAUUUUUAGUAAGUUUAAAUUACUCUAGGGAUAACAGCAUAAUUUAUUAUUAAGUUUGUGACCUCGAUGUUGGAUUAAGAUAAAUAAUCAUUAAAAGUAAUUAUUAUUGGUUCUGUUCGAACUUAAUUUCUUACAUGAUCUGAGUU